rnacentral:tRNA from 9 species
GCUCAGUUGGCAGACCGGCAGAUGCGCCAGUGUUACAUACUGUUUGACGUAGGUUCGAUUCCUACACUGAGCACCA